UACGUAGGUGGCAAGCGUUGUCCGGAUUUACUGGGCGUAAAGAGCGCGCAGGCGGUCGUCCAAGUCGAAUGUGAAAGCCCCCGGCUCAACUGGGGAGGGUCGUGCGAUACGGUCGGGCUUGAGGCCAGUAGGGGGAUGCGGAAUUCCCGGUGUAGCGGUGAAAUGCGCAGAUAUCAGGAGGAACACCUAUUGCGAAGGCAGCUCGCUGGGACGUUACUGACGCUGAGACGCGAAAGCGUGGGGAGCAAACAGG
rnacentral:rRNA from 1 species